rnacentral:rRNA from 1 species
AGUGAAUGCUGGCGGUAGGCCUAACACAUGCAAGUCGAACGGCAGCACAGUAAGAGCUUGCUCUUACGGGUGGCGAGUGGCGGACGGGUGAGGAAUACAUCGGAAUCUACUUUUUCGUGGGGGAUAACGUAGGGAAACUUACGCUAAUACCGCAUACGACCUACGGGUGAAAGCAGGGGAUCUUCGGACCUUGCGCGAUUGAAUGAGCCGAUGUCGGAUUAGCUAGUUGGCGGGGUAAAGGCCCACCAAGGCGACGAUCCGUAGCUGGUCUGAGAGGAUGAUCAGCCACACUGGAACUGAGGCACGGUCCAGACUCCUACGGGAGGCAGCAGUGGGGAAUAUUGGACAAUGGGCGCAAGCCUGAUCCAGCCAUACCGCGUGGGUGAAGAAGGCCUUCGGGUUGUAAAGCCCUUUUGUUGGGAAAGAAAAGCAGCAGGUUAAUACCCCGCUGUUCUGACGGUACCCAAAGAAUAAGCACCGGCUAACUUCGUG